rnacentral:rRNA from 1 species
GCGAGCGUUAAUCGGAAUUACUGGGCGUAAAGCGCAUGCAGGUGGUUUGUUAAGUCAGAUGUGAAAGCCCCGGGGCUCAACCUCGGAAUUGCAUUUGAAACUGGCAAACUAGAGUACUGUAGAGGGGGGUAGAAUUUUCAGGUGUAGCGGUGAAAAUGCGUAGAGAUCUGAAGGAAUACCCGGUGGCGAAGGCGGCCCCCCUGGACAGAUACUGACACUCAGAUGCGAAAAGCGUGGGGGAGCAAAACAGGAUUAGAUACCCCUGGUAG